rnacentral:lncRNA from 1 species
GAACUGAUGAUUAGUUAGAAGCUGAUCCUUGAAAAGUUAAGUUAUUUAUUCUUUAGCUAAAUAUAACUUUUUAAUUUCCUUAUUAUGUUCACUAUCUUAAUAUCUUUUUCUAAGGUUAGUAGCUCUACCUCAUCUCUAAAUAAUUUCAUGAUAGGGUUAGUAGCUAAUCUUUAAUGUUAUUAAGUUACAUGGUAGAGUCACUUCAAAAGUCAUGUUGGG